AGAGAGAGAGAGAGAGAGAGAGAGUUGUAAGGAUAAGUGUAAAGGGUUUUAGGUGGGGUUGGGGUUUAUCAGUUGGUUGGAAAAUGAUGAAAAGGCUUUUUUGGGUCUUUGGGGGAGUGAUUAAAGAAAACCCUAAUUCUUUGUCCUACUCAUAGUCAUAUAUACCUACUUAAAAUGGGUAUCCAGAAAAAGGGUUGUUGAGAAAUCUUUAUAUUUGUAUAUAAAAGAUGAUUUCAGAUCUGUCGGUUGAGUUUCAUAGGAGGGGUGAUCUGUAUGAAGCAGCAGUUGGGUGGCGGUUUGGUUUUUCCCAUUUAAUCUAGGAUUUCACUUUUUUGUUUCCAUUUCUGGUCCAUUUUCAGACAGUUAAACUAAAGAUGGUAAAGAUCAUGUGUAUGGGAAUUGGUGGGGGAAAGAGUGGAUGAUAAUUCGGGAUAAGAAGAGGAAGAGGGACACAGAGAGACUGACAGAAGAGAGUGAGCACACGCAGGCAAUUGUAUGAAAAGCCAUGCCUUUGCGGGUGCGUGCUCACUUCUCUUCUGUCAGCUUCGGCUUUUGCAUUGUGUUUCCUCACAAUGUUUGUUAUUUAUAUGUCCCCCUCUUUAUCUUCUUCUUUCUCUAUCUCACUCAAUCUCCAGAGAUGACGCCUCGAGUGUCUAUUUUUCCAGAUGUUUUUGUUUUCAUCCAUCCACAUGUCCUUCUCCCUUGUUCUUCGGAUAAGAAUGAGUCACUGGUCAAAAAACAAGUACACGGGGAAAGAAGGGUCAGAGAGAUAGAGAUGACACAUCAAAAAAGCAGGCUUUUUUUUUGUUCAACUAUAUCAUGAAAUAAGUCUUUUCUUCUUUCUCAGCCAACGAAACCCUCUUAAACCCUUUCUUUUGCUUUAGACAGAGAUUGAAAUCCCCCAUUUUUAUGUGUGUGAGACAAGUCAUAAGAUAAGGGAGUUAGCAAAGAGAAGGAGUACUGUUGUUGUUGUUGUAUGGCAAAGAGAUAAAGAGGCAAGUAAGCGUGAACAUAAGCUCUUUUCCUUUUUUGGGGUUAUCAUUUAUCAACUAUUAAGUUUGAGGUAUUAAUUGCUAAAUUUUGCUGAUCUUUUUGGGAAUAUUUUUAUAUUAAAAUAACAAUAGUUUUGAGCUUUGAAAGAAGCGUGACUUUUGAUGCCUCUCCCUUUUGAGGAGGACGAAGUGGCUUCUUUGAAGGUACGCCUGGUUACUGUUCUCAUUUUAACGGAAAACUGUAUCGGUAUCUUGGAAUUUUUAUGUUCAUUCACGUAAUCAGCUUUUAUUUUCUUUGCUUUGGUUAAAACCCUCUUCCUCUUCACCUUCCUGUUUUCUUGGAAACCAUGCAAGGAAAUGGCCAUGUCUGGCUUGUGUUCUUUACCCUCAAUCUGGCUCUGAUUUGGGGUUUUCGCCAUCUGGUGUUCUGCGUUUUGACCCCAAACGAGAGUCCAAGAAGUCAAGUCAACAAAAGGGUUUUGGAUCUGGUAGUAUUGGCUGCUUUCUUUUCAGUUACUGAAAAACUAUGGGUCACUCUACUCCUUGUGGUAGAAAUUGGAAGACAUCUUUUUCUUAUUUUCUGCAAAAAUAUGCGAUAUUUCCUAUUCAUUAUUGAAGGCUUGGCAGCUGGAAAGUUCCUAAUGCAGGUUACUUUGAUUCAGUCAGUGGAUUUUUCUCUAAUAAUCACUUUGUUUGGCAUUGGGUUUGGGAGGCAGCAAACUGUGUUUCUGAUUUGCACAGGUUAAUCAUUCAGAAUCAUAUCGGAUCGAAGGAAAUGUUCAGAUAUGGAUUCCAGUAGCUUGCAAUUCACAUGGUUCAUCCUUGAAAAUUUAAAAGGGAAUGUGGAAUUUCGGAUGGACCAAAAACUUUCUAAAGGCGGUACUAACAUUUCUUCGAGGAGGCAUUUAAAAUGAAGUGAUGUUGGGAAGGCAUUUCAUAUCCCUGAAAAGUUUGCUACAAGGUACCACUUACCACCCUAAGCUGGGGAUGCAACUAGAAGCAACAUGUUGAUUUUGGCGAUAAGUUCAUAAUUCAAAUAGCAGCAAAAAUUAUGGGUUCACGAAAGGUGGGAAGCUGUCUGUUAGGGAGAAGAAAUUGAAGCUAGGAGGUGUGGAGGGAACAUGUUCAUCAUGAUUGAUACUUCUGUAACUCUUAACAUUGUUUGACUAAAAAAAAUUCACUAUUUACUAUUUUUCGUUUUAAUUAUGUACAAUGAAUAUACCUCAACGAGAACGAGAAGAACAGUUAUAUCUUGCCGACAGCAGCGAGCAGUGAAUAUGUCAAAAACUUGGAUCUUUGCUAGAAUUUUGUUUGCCUUCCUAAUUUGAUUGUUGCUUGCUUCA